rnacentral:rRNA from 2 species
UGGCGAACUGGUGAGUAACACGUGGGAAACCUGCCCAGAAGCGGGGGAUAACACCUGGAAACAGAUGCUAAUACCGCAUAACAACUUGGACCGCAGGGUCCGAGUUUGAAAGAUGGCUUCGGCUAUCACUUUUGGAUGGUCCCGCGGCGUAUUAGCUAGAUGGUGAGGUAACGGCUCACCAUGGCAAUGAUACGUAGCCAACCUGAGAGGGUAAUCGGCCACAUUGGGACUGAGACACGGCCCAAACUCCUACGGGAGGCAGCAGUAGGGAAUCUUCCACAAUGGACGAAAGUCUGAUGGAGCAACGCCGCGUGAGUGAAGAAGGGUUUCGGCUCGUAAAACUCUGUUGUUAAAGAAGAACAUAUCUGAAAGUAACUGUUCAGGUAUUGACGGUAUUUAACCAGAAAGCCACGGCUAACUACGUGCCAGCAGCCGCGGUAAUACGUAGGUGGCAAGCGUUGUCCGGAUUUAUUGGGCGUAAAGCGAGCGCAGGCGGUUUUUU